CAAAACAUGUCUUAUUGAAAAUAAUUUUAAGUCAAUCUGCCCAAUGAAUAAUUUAAAUGGCUGCAGUAUACUGACUGUACAAAGGUAGCAUAAUCAAUUGGUUUUUAAAUGAAAUCUGGAAUGAAAGGAUUAAUGAAAUAUAUACUGUCUCAUAUUUAUUUUAUAAAUUUAAAAUUUUAAUAAAAAUGUUAAAAUUUUUUUAUGGGACGAUAAGACCCUAUAGAAUUUUAUAUUAAAUUAAUUUUAUAUUUAAUAUAAAAUUUAAUUUAAUAUUUAAUUGGGAGAAUUAUUAAAUUUAAUAAAUUUUAAUUUUUAAAAACUUUAAUUAAAGAAAAAAUAUUGAUCUUUAAUUUAAAAUUAUUAGAUUAAAUUACCUUAGGGAUAACAGCGUUAUAUUUUUUUAUAGAUCUUAUAGAAAAAAAUGAUUGCGACCUCGAUGUUGAAUUAAGAUAAAUUUUAAAUGUAGAAGUUUAAUAAUUAAGUCUGUUCGACUUUUAAAAUCUUACAUGAUUUGAGUUCAAUCCGACGUAAGU
rnacentral:rRNA from 1 species